rnacentral:lncRNA from 1 species
ACCAGCCUGGCCAAAACAUUGAAACACCAUUUCUACUAAAAAUACAAAAUUAGCUGGAUGUAGUGGUGCAUGCCUAUAGUACCCGCUACUCACCAGGCUGAGACAGGAGAAUCACUUGAACCCGGGAGCGGAGGCUGCUGUGAGCUGAGAUGGCACCACUGUACUCCAGCCUGGGCAAGAAGAGUAAAAUUCCAUCUCAAAAAAAAAAAAAAAGGUCAACAAGUUAUGCCUAUAAAAGAGUUUACUUGACCAGAAGCAGAGGCUCAUGCCUGUAAUCCCAGCACUUUGGGAGGCCGAAGCGGGAGGAUUGCUUGAAUCCAGAAGUUUGAGACCAGCCUGGGCAACAUGGUGAAACCCCACCCCUACAAAAAGUACAAAAAUUAGCUGGGCAUGGUGGCAUGUACCUGCAGUCCCAGCUACGGGGGAGGCUGUGGUGGGAGGAUCGCUUGAGCCUGGGAGGACGAGACUGCAGUGAUGGUGCCACUGCACUCCAGCCUGCGUGACAGAGCAAAAUCCCAUCUCUAAAAAAUAAAAAAGAGUUUACUUAGC